rnacentral:rRNA from 1 species
UACGUAGGGUCCGAGCGUUGUCCGGAAUUAUUGGGCGUAAAGGGCGCGUAGGCGGCCAUGCGUGUCUUCCGUGAAAUCCCUCGGCUUAACUGAGGACGUGCGGAAGAAACUGCAAGGCUCGAGUCCGGGAGAGGGGGGUGGAAUUCCCAGUGUAGCGGUGAAAUGCGUAGAUAUUGGGAGGAACACCGGUGGCGAAGGCGGCCCCCUGGACCGGUACUGACGCUGAGGCGCGAAAGCGUGGGUAGCAAACGGG